CCUUCAGAUACUGGAAGGCUGCUAUGAGGUCUCCACGCAGCCUUCUCUUCUCCAGGUUGAACAGCCCCAACUUUCUCAGCCUGUCUUUAUACAGGAGGUGCUCCAUCCCCUGAUCAUCCUCGUGGCCCUUCUCUGGACUUGUUCCAACAGUUCCAUGUCCUUU